GGGUUUGUAAGUACUUAAAACGCUAUUGAUUAGUUCAGUUUCUCUAGUAAAACUAUGUUGAUCUAAAGUUUUUCUUAGGUCAUAUAUUUAGUUAUGGUAUAGUUCUUGAAUGCUUUGUUGUUAUCAAUUGAUAUUUUAUAAUGGUUGAUUGAUAACAAAUUGAUUUUAACUUAACCGGUUCACGCUUUUGAUUUAUGUGAUGAUAUAUUGGCUCAUCGUUAAUUUGCACGCAUGUUUUAAUGUUGUUGGUGUGAACUAAAAUUUGUAAGUAUUGACUACAACGAUUGAAAACAU
rnacentral:lncRNA from 1 species